AGUGAACGCUGGCGGUGGGCCUAACACAUGCAAGUCGAACGGCAGCACAGUAAGAGCUUGCUCUUACGGGUGGCGAGUGGCGGACGGGUGAGGGAUACAUCGGAAUCUACUUUUUCGUGGGGGAUAACGUAGGGAAACUUACGCUAAUACCGCAUACGACCUACGGGUGAAAGCAGGGAUCUUCGGACCUUGCGCGAUUGAAUGAGCCGAUGUCGGAUUAGCUAGUUGGCGGGGUAAAGGCCCACCAAGGCGACGAUCCGUAGCUGGUCUGAGAGGAUGAUCAGCCACACUGGAACUGAGACACGGUCCAGACUCCUACGGGAGGCAGCAGUGGGGAAUAUUGGACAAUGGGCGCAAGCCUGAUCCAGCCAUACCGCGUGGGUGAAGAAGGCCUUCGGGUUGUAAAGCCCUUUUGUUGGGAAAGAAAAGCAGCAGGUUAAUACCCCGCUGUUCUGACGGUACCCAAAGAAUAAGCACCGGCUAACUUCGUG
rnacentral:rRNA from 1 species